GAUGAACGCUGGCGGCGUGCCUAAUACAUGCAAGUAGAACGCUGAAGCUUGGUGCUUGCACCGAGCGGAUGAGUUGCGAACGGGUGAGUAACGCGUAGGUAACCUGCCUGGUAGCGGGGGAUAACUAUUGGAAACGAUAGCUAAUACCGCAUGACAACAGUUAUUGCAUGAUAACUGUUUAAAAGGGGCAAUUGCUCCACUACCAGAUGGACCUGCGUUGUAUUAGCUAGUUGGUGAGGUAACGGCUCACCAAGGCGACGAUACAUAGCCGACCUGAGAGGGUGAUCGGCCACACUGGGACUGAGACACGGCCCAGACUCCUACGGGAGGCAGCAGUAGGGAAUCUUCGGCAAUGGACGGAAGUCUGACCGAGCAACGCCGCGUGAGUGAAGAAGGUUUUCGGAUCGUAAAGCUCUGUUGUAAGAGAAGAACGAGUGUGAGAGUGGAAAGUUCACACUGUGACGUAUCUACCAGAAAGG
rnacentral:rRNA from 1 species